rnacentral:rRNA from 1 species
AGUGGAAACAAUAAGCAGGCCUUCUACUAUAACUUCCAUUAUAUCUGUAGACCCAGCUACACGUUUGCGGAGGUCAAGAUGGUAAACGAAUAAAGCCAAGUUCGUUUGUACAGGCCGCGAACUAUCUGUCCUGGAUGAUGACGGGGCCCCGAGUUGAUUUGACGCUCCUCUAUUCAGUAAUACAAAGUACCGAACUCCUAGAAUUAUGACAGUUCUGUUU